GACGAACGCUGGCGGCGUGCUUAACACAUGCAAGUCGAACGGAGUGGCGAACGGGUGAGUAACACGUGGGUGAUCUGCCUUGCACUUCGGGAUAAGCUUGGGAAACUGGGUCUAAUACCGGAUAGUGCAAGAUGAGCUCGCGGCCUAGCAGCUUGUGGGUGGGGUAAUGGCCUACCAAGGCGUGGUCGGGUCGCCGGCCUGAGAGGGUGGACGGCCACAUUGGGACUGAGAUACGGCCCAGACUCAUACGGGCGGCAUGAGGGGGGAAUAUUGCACAAUGGGCGGCAGGCGGAUUCAGGGACGUCGCGUGGGGGAGGAAGGCCUUCGGGGUGUAAACGCCUUUCGACAGGGACGCGGUACCUGUAUAGGAAGCAACGGCUAACUACGUGCCAGCAGCCGCGGUAAUUC
rnacentral:rRNA from 1 species